ensembl:misc_RNA
UUACAAAAGGAAAAUACAAGGAAAGCGAGAGGCCUCGCUGACUUGGGGGAAAUCGACAGGAAUGGGCACAGUGUCAGAAAGCCCCCGACCCCAGACCGUGCCCCCUU